AUGCGGCCAGUGGGCACCGCCAGCUCCUGCCAGUCUGGGUCCCAGGGCCCUGCGCUCCACCACAGGGUCAGCGUCUCCACACCGUGGGUCAGCUCCAGCCGCAACUCAGCCACAUCUGCAGUGAGGGGUCCGGGGGCAGCUCAGGCCCCAGGCCUCCCCCAGGCCCGUGGCUGUGCCCACCCCAGGACCCCUGCCCACCCUGGGGGCGCCUUCCCGUCUCUGCGCCCCUCGUCUUGGGCCACCUGGCUCGGGUCGCGGGGUAUGGGGUGCGCACCUCCUGAGGCCACGUGGUACCAGAGCCUCAGCUCGCAGGUGGGGGCGGCCUCGUGCAGGACAGGGGAGCGCAGGGCCGCGGUGGCCGUCUCCCUCCCACGGUGUGUGCCGACUGCCACAUACCAGCCUGGCCAGCCGAGAGGUCAGGAGAUGGGGCGGGAGGCACAGAGGGCUGGGGACAGCAUGGAGCCCCACCCAGACCUCACCAAGGUCAGUGCCCAGAGUGUGGUCCGCGCGCAGCCCUGGCCCCUCUGGCGAGGCCCCUGCGCGGUCUCGGAGCCAGCGGUAGCCCGCAGUGCUGAUGUCCCGCCAGCCACAGGAGUCCCGCUCGAAGUCACAGGUGAAGGGGGUGCCCAGGCUGGGCGAAGCCCCGUGGUAACCUGGGAGGGCAGGGGGUCAGGCGGGGUGGCCGCGAGGGUGGGCCCCGCUGCUGCCCCCCUGGCCCUGGCUCACCGCACUGCGCCUCGUCGGGGCAGCCCCUGCAGUCACACACAAAGUUGCACACGGCCUCGCGGGGGGUCCUGCAGUGGUUGGGGACCCAGGCCCAGCCGGGGGACCCUGCUGCCAGCAGAGACAGCCAGGUGGCCUGGGGUAGGGAGGCCCCGCUGUUCCCCAGGACAGAGACCCCUAAGAGUCAGGCAUCCUGGGACAUGUGGGGGCCGGGCCAAGAGGCUGUGCAGGGAGGGGGCCAGAAAGCCACGGAGAACUGCCCCCAGGGGUCCCUGUCAGGGCCCAGGAGAGGCUGGCUGUCAGGAUGGGGUGCCUGGGUGUGCAAGGGACCAACCAUCCCCAACGUGGGUCCCUCCCCAGGGAGGACCGGAGCCCAGCACGACUCGGGAGGGGCUGCGGCCCAGGCCCCCCAGCCUGCACCCAGAGCGGGCUGGACUCGGAUCCCUACCCCAGCGAGGCCGUCCCCAGGACCCCAAGGGCUCGCCCGGCGUCCGGACUGCAGGCCGUCCUGGGCCCACGUCCCUCCUUCCCUGCAGACCCAGCAGCUGGGCCCCCUGUCGUUCCUGCUUCAGGAGCCAGGCCCGGCAACUCACCCAGGAGCAUGACCACGGCGGGCAGGAGAUGACCGUGCAGAGGCAUGGUCAGGCCCGAGGCAGGGAGGCCUGGGGCGCUGUGUGCCCUGGCCAGCCUGGUGGGGACUCUGCCUGGCUGUCAGCCCGAGGCCCCGCAGGCCGACUCUGCUCUGACUGCGGGCCUGGCUCAGCUCUUUCUGUAUCUGCAGCCCUUCGCUGGCCCCACCCCAUGCUGACAAGGACGAACACCUGGCUGUAA
ensembl:lncRNA